GUUCGAACGCGAUGGCGGCGGCGAGAGGGUGAAGGAGCGGGCGCGUCUCGCCGCCCGUCUCCUCAGGCGUUUCCAGGUGCCGUUGUCAUCUCUCGCUCUGUCUUUGCAGGAUGUCCGCGCCUGCGAGCCACCCUACCGCUACGGCGGCGGGCGGAGAAGCGCCGAAAACUAAGCAGAAAGGAGGAAGGAUCGUGAAGUCUCGCUACCUGCAGUACGACAAGAAAGACGUCAGGAAGGAUACUCCAACAAAUUCCUUUUCCAUAUCUACUGGUAAACCAUCUUCUUCAGCUAAAUCAAGAGCAGUUCCUGCUCAGAAAUGUACAACUUCUGCUGGUCUUCUCUCUAAGUCUUUAAGUCAGAGUAGUUGUGAGAAACUUAACUUGCAGUCCACUUUAUUAGAUGAAGAUAAACUUGAACGACCGCAGCUUGAUUUUUCAGCAAUUGGUGAGAAAAGUGUCCAGAAAAAGACUCCUGCUUCAAAAUCUGAUGGCAAAGGAUCUACAGGGACACGUCGAAAACCAAACAGAGCAGGAAAACGUUUGAAUAAAUCUCUGAUAGCAGAGCUGGAAUCUCAGACACUGCUUUUAACUUACCUAAGAAUAAAGGCAGGAAAAAAUCUUGCUAAGCUGGAGGAAAAAACAGAAAAGAACUUGUUAAUGUUGUGUGAAGAAAAGGAGAGACAACACAAGAAGCUCUGUGAGUUGAAGCAUGAAAUUCUUCUCCAAGAGAGAGAGCAGAAACUUGAUGAAGCCUUAGACAAACAGAUGGAAGUACUUUCUCCCCUUGUUCCUGUUUGUGAAAAAUUUAAGGACCAAUAUAAAAGCUUUGCAGCUUCCCUGGAUGCCACUACACAUGCAUUGCCCAUAAAGAAUAUUCACAUAGAAGGAGAUAAGCUAACAUACCUUGGUGAACUGCAAAAGCAGUUAACUGUCACACAGGAACUUCUGACAGAAAUUAUGCCAGACUACUCAGAAGAAAGUGAAAAAACGUUUAAUGUACUGAAAGACCUUGAAGAAGUUUCUCAGAAACUGGAUAAAGUGAUUCAAAGGAGCUUUGCAGAAGUGCAGAACCUGUCAUCUGAAGUUAGUAAAGAAGUUUCUCUGCAUAACCAAAACAUAUGUGAAGAGAAUCAUGGACUAGAUGAUGUGAAACACUGGUACUUCAACUAACUUUGUGUGUUGUUUUACUAAUGAGUGGAUACUAAAUCAGUGCCAGCAGACUUCUUGUAUGAACAUAUAACUUGCCCAAAUUUUCAGUUGUAUCAGAAUAUGAAACCAGCAGUAUGUAUGCUAACUAAUGUAAGAAAUGAAGUUUUCUUCUGCGUGUUGUCCCAUAAGGAGUCAUCUUUUUUUAACAUGAAUUUGAUACCUUUCUCAUCACCUUCUGCCUUGACAGUACUGAAAGGGCUCAUACUACACAGUAUGUGCAGUGAUGGACUUACAGGCACUAACCAGUCCCAACGACAAGCCGUGACCUACUGGCACUAUUGUGCUGAGGCCAGAAGAUUGUGAUGUGGAGAAAAACCUCAAACCUACUACUGAGGUCACCGGAGCUCCAGGUGAGGGAGCAGCACCCCCCUUUGCCUGGGCUUCACUGUGGUAGAGCUGCGCUCAGGAGAAGAUCGAGGCCGGUUUGUCUCUUCACCACCCCCCCAACCCUGCAAUUCUUUGUUCACACUAGCUUCAAAUGGAGCUGAUUCUUUGCUCAUCAGCAGCAAGUAAGCAGCUCAUGACCCCAGCAGAUGUUUCUGCAUUUUAGGCUAAUGAGAAUUUACUGGAUUACUGCAGUCUUCCCUGCCUCGGAGUAAAUACCACUUUGUUGGAGAUCCGGAAACUCAUACUGAAUAUGAUAAACAAACUGCUGGCUGGACUGUGAUUGCCAGGACAUGAAAAGAGUUCCACAGCAGCAGAAGAUCUAACAGCUCUGAAAUGCACCACUGAGCCACACCAAUUAAGAGCAUUUCCAGUGAUUAUGUGAGCAUUCCUGUUCAACUCACAGAAAUUAUUUUAGGUUGUUUCUUCCGCUGCAUUUGUGUGUGGUCUGAAAAGCAAGCACAAGGGUGGAGGAUGAGGUUUGCAGAGCAGUCUCAAAGGCCUCUGAUCACUUUCUUUUAAAAUUUCUGUGAUAAUGUAUAUGCAAGACUUACUGAGUUUCCUGCUCUUUCAGGAUCUUAAAUUUCUCAGGGUAGCAAUUUGCCUCAAGACAUAACUAAUUUUUUUGUUUAUAUAGAUAAUAUGUGUUUGGAGAUGGCCUGUAAGAUAUCAGAACUUAAUUCUUUGUUUUAGUAUCUACUGCAUGUGGGGGUGGGAAACUAAACACAGUAGAGUUUUCAGGACUACUACCCAAAAAGAGAUUCUGUCUGUGACACUUCGUCCUUUCAGCAGUCAGGCUUUGUUGUGUGUUUCUUCAGAACUUUUUAGAUAGUAUUUCAGUAAGUGAAAUGGUAAACAGGUAACUAUAGGAGUGCAGCACUGAUCCCCAGCUAAACCAGGAUGAAGCUUGUGAGCCUGACUCUAGAGCAGUGUUAGCACACUUAGAAACUUCAGCAUAUUAUGGACAGGGUAGGGUAUGGUAUCUGCAUAGGCAGUGCCCAAAGCUGUUGAGAGCCCUUAACCCUUUCUUGCUAUCUUUUUGUCAUGAGAAAUUUGUCUUCACCUAACUGAGCAAAAUCAAAUUUCUCAAAUUAAUAUGCUUUUUUAUGAUAAAAGGACACCUCCACCCGUUUCUAGUUAGGAAGGUGUCCAGCUGAAUUUUUAAUAACUCUUAAAUGUGUGGAGACUUCUCAACCUUUCUAGAUCCCUUAUUUAUGUAUAAAACUUCCACCAAACACUAGAUUAUGGACAGACUUCUAUUCCACCAGGCAUAUGUAGAGACUGAGUAGAAGACUGGAAAAUAAUUUCUUACUAAAUGUCUUAAUGAUAGCCACUUCUGAUUAAGCACAGUGCUCUAUUCCUGUUCUAAAUCAACAUGCAAAUGAUUUCUUAGUACUAUUUCAGUAAUUUUUGUCAGCAAUUAAAAUGUUAUACUACUCUGAAAGACCAGCUUCUCCUGUUUUGUAGAUGAUUAAUAAAGAUUU